AGUGAACGCUGGCGGUAGGCCUAACACAUGCAAGUCGAACGGCAGCACAGUAAGAGCUUGCUCUUACGGGUGGCGAGUGGCGGACGGGAGAGGAAUAUAUCGGAAUCUACUUUUUCGUGGGGGAUAACGUAGGGAAACUUACGCUAAUACAGCAUACGACCUACGGGUGAAAGCAGGGGAUCUUCGGACCUUGCGCGAUUGAAUGAGCCGAUGUCGGAUUAGCUAGUUGGCGGGGUAAAGGCCCACCAAGGCGGCGAUCCGUAGCUGGUCUGAGAGGAUGGUCGGCCACACUGGAACGGAGACACGGACCAGACUCCUACGGGAGGCAGCAGUGGGGAAUGUUGGACAAUGGGCGCAAGCCUGAUCCAGCCAUACCGCGUGGGUGAAGAAGGCGUUCGGGUUGUAAAGCCCUUUUGUUGGGAAAGAAAAGCAGCAGGUUAAUACCCCGCUGUUCUGACGGUACCCAAAGAAUAAGCACCGGCUAACUUCGUG
rnacentral:rRNA from 1 species